rnacentral:misc_RNA from 1 species
GAUGAAGAACGCAUCGAAAUGCGAUAAGUAGUGUGAAUUGCAGAAUUCAGUGAAUCAUCGAAUCUUUGAACGCACAUUGCGCCCUUUGGUAUUCCUUAGGGCAUGCCUGUUCGAGCGUCAUUUAAACCUUCAAGCUCAGCUUGGUGUUGGGUGACUGUCCGCCGCCUCCGGGCGCGUGGACUCGCCUCAAAAUUAUUGGCGGCCGGUACAUUGGCUUCGAGCGCAGCAGAAACGCGAACUCGGGCCCGUCGUAUUGGCUCCCAGAAGCUAUCUUCACAAUUUUGACCUCGGAUCAGGUAGGGAUACCCGCUGAACUUAAGCAUAUCAAUAAGCGGAGGA